UAAAAGGGUCGGUUGGCUAUGUAUGCCACACUCAUCCGAAGUUGGUGAGUGCUGUAUGGCUAUCAAGACAUAUGGCCGACAUAAUUUCUGGAAACCCAUUAGGGUUGGCUCGCAUUGGCCGACCCUCCU